GACGAACGCUGGCGGCGUGCCUAAUACAUGCAAGUCGAACGCACUCUCGUUUAGAUUGAAGGAGCUUGCUCCUGAUUGAUAAACAUUUGAGUGAGUGGCGGACGGGUGAGUAACACGUGGGUAACCUGCCCUAAAGUGGGGGAUAACAUUUGGAAACAGAUGCUAAUACCGCAUAAAACCUAAACACCGCAUGGUGUAGGGUUGAAAGAUGGUUUCGGCUAUCACUUUAGGAUGGACCCGCGGUGCAUUAGUUAGUUGGUGAGGUAAAGGCUCACCAAGACCGUGAUGCAUAGCCGACCUGAGAGGGUAAUCGGCCACACUGGGACUGAGACACGGCCCAGGACUCCUACGGGAGGCAGCAGUGGGAAUCUUCCACAAUGGACGAAAGUCUGAUGGAGCAAACGCCGCGUGAGUGAAGAAGGUUUUCGGAUCGUAAAACU
rnacentral:rRNA from 1 species